AAAUGAAUAGACGGGGGCCCGCACAAGCAGCGGAGCAUGUGGUUUAAUUCGAAGCAACGCGAAGAACCUUACCAGGGCUUGACAUCCCUCUGGCCGGUACAGAGAUGUACCUUUUCUUCGGAACAGAGGAGACAGGUGGUGCAUGGUUGUCGUCAGCUCGUGUCGUGAGAUGUUGGGUUAAGUCCCGCAACGAGCGCAACCCCUAUCUUUAGUUGCCAUCAGGUAGAGCUGGGCACUCUAGAGAGACCGCCGGGGAUAACUCGGAGGAAGGUGGGGAUGACGUCAAAUCAUCAUGCCCCUUAUGUCCUGGGCUACACACGUGCUACAAUGGCCUGAAACAGAGAGAAGCGAAGCCGUAAGGUGGAGCAAACCUCAGAAACCAGGUCCCAGUUCGGAUUGUGGGCUGCAACCCGCCCACAUGAAGUCGGAGUUGCUAGUAAUCGCGAAUCAGCAUGUCGCGGUGAAUGCGUUCCCGGGCCUUGUACACACCGCCCGU
rnacentral:rRNA from 1 species